rnacentral:tRNA from 1 species
GAGGGUGUAGCUCAGUGGUAGAGCACGUGCCUAGCACGCGUGAGGUCCCGGGUUCAGUCCCCAGCACCUCCA